rnacentral:rRNA from 1 species
UACGUAGGGGUGCAAGCGUUGUCCGGAAUUAUUGGGCGUAAAGGGCUCGUAGGCGGUCCAUCGCGUCGGGGAGUGAAAAGCUGGGGCUCAACCCCAGUCCUGCUUCCGAUACGGGUGGACUAGAGGUAGGCAGGGGAGAACGGAAUCCUGGUGUAGCGGUGAAAUGCGCAGAUAUCAGGAGGAACACCGGUGGCGAAGGCGGUUCUCUGGGCCUUACCUGACGCUGAGGAGCGAAAGCGUGGGGAGCAAACAGG